UGCUUCAACUUUCUCUGCACAAAACGGUAUCUUGUUUCAUCUUUAUAAUAAACGUAUUUUACACCCCGUUCUUGUCAGACAGCAUUCUGUCUUUCUCAGCGUGCAUAGUUAACAGACACGCAGAUCUCGCAUUCAGCAUAUGAAACCUUUGGAAAUAAAUAAAUAAAGGCAUCCUCAGAGGUUCUGCAGGUACAUAUGAAUGGAGGUUUACAUGGAGACAAGAAACACAGCAUCCUCACAAUCUCGUGGUGACCAUCCUCCGUGAUCUCCUGUUGUGUACUGAGGAUGAGGUUUGAGUUUCUUCUACUUCUCUGUCUUCAUCAGCUCUGGAUAACCUCUGCAAUCCCAUGGAGACCGGACACAAGGCAGGUGUCCGGACCCACAUGCAUCAAGCUGGGUCAACGGGUAUUGCUCAUACACACAUUAGGAUGCGGCAGAUGGGUAUGGAAAUAUACGAAGGGGCCAUACACUUCACGAAUUCUUAUUGCACCCAAAGAAAUAGUUACAUGGCCUCCCGGAGUAGCACCGGAACAAAAUUGCACACCACAAAUCUGUUGUAAAUUAGGUUCCACCCAUCCCGCAUACAUAAACAUGUCAACACACACCAGCAUGGCCAUCCCAACACAAUAUCACUGCCUGGUAUGAACUAAAGGAAUAUCCAGGGGCUAAAGAAGGUGGGCUGCACACUUUAUAUGAAAAAAACAAUGAUCAUGUGAAAUUGGCUUUGAUUUGAAUUUCUGCAACAAUGUUUU